UGCCGGGUGGCCAAAGUAGGUAAGGCAGCAGACUUUGAAUCUGAAGAGUGGGGGUUCGAGGCCCUCCCCGGCAACCA
rnacentral:tRNA from 1 species